rnacentral:rRNA from 1 species
AGCAACGCCGCGUGAGUGAUGAAGGUUUUCGGAUCGUAAAGCUCUGUUGUUAGGGAAGAACAAGUGCCGUUCGAAUAGGGCGGCACCUUGACGGUACCUAACCAGAAAGCCCCGGCUAACUACGUGCCAGCAGCCGCGGUAAUACGUAGGGGGCAAGCGUUGUCCGGAAUUAUUGGGCGUAAAGCGCGCGCAGGCGGUCCUUUAAGUCUGAUGUGAAAGCCCACGGCUCAACCGUGGAGGGUCAUUGGAAACUGGAGGACUUGAGUACAGAAGAGGAGAGUGGAAUUCCACGUGUAGCGGUGAAAUGCGUAGAGAUGUGGAGGAACACCAGUGGCGAAGGCGACUCUCUGGUCUGUAACUGACGCUGAGGCGCGAAAGCGUGGGGAGCGAACAGGAUUAGAUACCCUGGUAGUCCACGCCGUAAACGAUGAGUGCUAGGUGUUAGGGGGUUUCCGCCCCUUAGUGCUGAAGUUAACGCAUUAAGCACUCCGCCUGGGGAGUACGGCCGCAAGGCUGAAACUCAAAAGAAUUGACGGGGGCCCGCACAAGCGGUGGAGCAUGUGGUUUAAUUCGACGCAACGCGAAGAACCUUACCAGGUCUUGACAUCCUCUGCAAUCGGUAGAGAUACCGAGUUCCCUUCGGGGACAGAGUGACAGGUGGUGCAUGGUUGUCGUCAGCUCGUGUCGUGAGAUGUUGGGUUAAGUCCCGCAACGAGCGCAACCCUUGAUCUUAGUUGCCAGCAUUUAGUUGGGCACUCUAAGGUGACUGCCGGUGACAAACCGGAGGAAGGUGGGG